AACCAGCUUUUUAAAAAGAAUGUGAAGGUGGUGAGGCCCUGGCACAGGUUGCCCAGAGAAGCUGUGCCUGCUGCAUCCCUGACAGUGUUCAAGACCCUGUUUUAUGAGGCUUGGAGCAACCUGGUCUAGUGGAAGGUGUCCCUGCCCAUGGCAGGGGGUUGGAACUAGAUGGACUUUAAGGUCCUUCCAACCC